AAGCUUCCCCUACGGUUUGUACGAAAGUCGAUUGCAUCUGCUAAGAAUCGGCUUCAAUACGCAAACGCACUUUGAAUGCAGAGCCAAUGCCAGUGGACGAAUCAUUUCGAAAUUCAUUUCUUUAACAGUUCAAGAAAACAUCGAUCCAGUGGAUGUAGAAUUGGAAAGAGGAACUGCUCAAAAUUUGACUUGCAAUCGAUCAACUGAUGACAUCCACAUCCAAUGGUUCAAGGAUAACGAGGAAUAUUCGGGAUUAAUCUAUACAAGGGAUACUUCAUCAAUUUUACCACUAAACGGAAGUGAUGGACAAAACGGAAAUUAUUCUUGUCAUUGGAACAACAGCCGCGGGGAAACGAGAUUUCGAAAUUUCAAUUUUCCUGACGAACCGAGAUUUCGAAAUUUCAAUUUUCCUGACAUACUAAAAUCUAACG